AUUGAACGCUGGCGGCAGGCUUAACACAUGCAAGUCGAGCGAGCGGCGGACGGGUGAGUAAUGUCUGGGAAACUGCCCGAUGGAGGGGGAUAACUACUGGAAACAGUAGCUAAUACCGCAUACCAUCAGAUGUGCCCCGAUGGGAUUAGCUAGUAGGUGGGGUAAGGGCUCACUUAGGCGACGAUCCCUAGCUGGUCUGAGAGGAUGACCAUCCAAACUGGAACGGAGACACGGUCCAGCCUCCUACGGGAGGCAGCAGUGGGGAAUAUUGCACAAUGGGCGCAAGCCUGAGGCAGCCAUGCCGCGUGUAUGAAGAAGGCCUUCGGGUUGUAAAGCACUUUCAGCGAGGAGGCGUUACUCGCAGAAGAAGCACCGGCUAACUCCGUGCCAGCAGCCGCGGUAAUUC
rnacentral:rRNA from 1 species